AUAUCUACCAUGAUGGAGACAAGUAAUCUGAUGCACCCUAACAGGGACGGUACGCCACCGAUUGAGAGCGCACCGCGGGAGUUGCACUGAUGAAAUUCACUCCGGAGUUGAUUUCCUGAACCGCACCCGGGUGCAGUAAGGAAGUCCGGCACACGCCGUUAAUUGUGUUAAGUGAGAAAACCAAAACAUUUGGCUGUCUAACAAGGGUGGUACCGCGGAUAUAUCCGUCCCUUGC
rnacentral:ncRNA from 1 species